rnacentral:rRNA from 1 species
GACGAACGCUGGCGGCGUGCUUAACACAUGCAAGUCGAACGAAGUGGCGAACGGGUGAGUAAUACGUGGGUAACCUGCCCUCCUUUUUGGGAUAAGCCUUGGAAACGGGGUCUAAUACCGAAUAAAGGGGGAUGGGCUCGCGGCCUAUCAGCUUGUUGGUGGGGUGAUGGCCUACCAAGGCGGUGACGGGUAGCCGGCCGGAGAGGGUGACCGGCCACAUUGGGACUGAGAUACGGCCCAGGCUCCUACGGGAGGCAGCAGUGGGGUAUAUUGCACAAUGGGCGAAAGCGUGAUGCAGCGAGGCCGCGUGGGGGAUGAAGGCUUUCGGGAUGUAAACCUCUUUAGACAGGGACGCGGUACCUGUAGAAUAAGCCACGGCUAACUACGUGCCAGCAGCCGCGGUAAUUC